rnacentral:lncRNA from 1 species
CUCAACAUAAGUAACAUAGAAUCUGUGGGUACACUUUUGACAACAUACCUUAAAACCACAUUGUAUGCAACAAUAACCUUGUGCAAACCAUAUAUAGCUAUGCCCACCAUUUUAUAGAACAAUGUUCAAUAGACUACCAUAUGCAUAUGGGCGUGCACGAUGGAUAUUAGACACAGAACAUAGUAGUAGUAGUAUAACUUGCACAAAACUACAUGCAUGAUCUUUUAUAUUUGAGCCAGCAAGUUCUUUCAAAAGAUAACCCACAAGAAAGCACGCACUGGUCUUCUUGUGCACUAUACGUUGGGUGUUGCAAUUGCUUAUAAUAAUCUCUUUUAUUUGUUCAGUUUGAACAACCGUGGCUAGGCACUUCCUAAAGUCUUCACUUCAAGUACUUGUCAAACCAGUCGAUCAUUAGGUCAAGAGCUUGCUCAGCAGUUUUGACAGCAAAAGGGUCGGUGGUAUUAUAUCUACAAGCAAAUCCAUGUGUAGUUCCUGGAAAGAUCUUGGCGUAGUAGGGAAUCUGCAAACAACCAUGCCACAAAAAUGAGCUUUUCUAACUGAUAUAUAGUAUCCUCUAUGACGGAAUCACUAGGAAUGCAGCUCUUCUUCUUCUUAAUAUAAAGAUACGCAGCUCUCCUGCGUAUUCUUGAAAAAAGGAAUCACUAGGAACUCACCUCUGUUCUAUGACGCAGUACACUCACAUACUUGUACACUAGUUCCGGCGGUGCCUCUGAGUCAUUUUGAGCUCCAAGGAUCUCGAUUGGACAUUUAACCUCUGUUUUGAAUAAUGAUCAUAUAGUUAGCAUAUAUAUGAAAUUAAGCAUUUAAAAGUUCAGUUCCAAAGACAUCUCAAUCGAUCGAUGCUGUCUGGGAGCUAGGUUGCAAACACAAAGAAAAGGAGCUAGCAAACCUUUCAUGUCAUCAGUAGUCACAAUGUAAGGAUGAGGUAUGGAAACUACUUUAACAUCACUGGUCUUCCCCAUCUCCACACUGAACUUUCCUGUCAGAUACUCGGCAAUAGAAGAUAAGAAUUGUAUGUUCUAUGUGUUGCCUGAAGAAGGAUUUUGGAAGCUGGAAUUUCACUCACCACCCCAGGAAUAACCUCCCGCCCCGAUGGACUUUCCUUCCUUUUCUAAAGCAGCAAAGAGUGGCUUGGCGUCUUUGGCAGCUUUCACCUGCCAGAUCGAUCGGAUACUCAUCAAAUCAAUAUAGUUUUCAACUAGGCUUUGGCUUGGCUAUCGAUCAUGGCCAACCCAAUUGGCCAUGAUUGGGUCACGACCAUGGCAGUAAGAUAUAUUAUUGACCACCUAAACCAAUUAUUUUCUCGACCACCUAACCCAAUUGUUGUCUCUUGCACUGUAUCUUUACAAAGCACUUUCUCGGGUCGUUCCCAUCGGCCAUCUACGACUGUGACGCCCUGAGAAUUGAAGCGCCCUUCCUCUCUAACACCACCACAACUGCUGGCCGAAUCGAUGGCGAGCGCCGCCACGAGCGUGAUGGGGUCCGUCAUCGGCAAGCUGACUGCCAUGCUCGGCGACAAGUACCAGCUGGCCAGAGACGUGGACCAAGGGAUCCAAUUCCUCAAGGAUGAGCUGAACACCAUUGAUGUCGUGCUGCAGAAGCUCGCAGACAAGGAAGACGACCAAAUGGAUCCAAUGGCUAAAGAUUGGAGGAACAAGGUGCGUGAGCUAUCCUUCGAUAUUGAGGAUUGCAUCGACCGCUUCAUGCUCAAUCACAGCCAUGGAGGUUCCAAUGCUAACUUCAUCGACCGCUUCAUGCGUAAGGUGGAGAUGUUGUGGAAGGACCAGGGCACAGCAGGGGAGAUCCAAAAACUCGAGAUACUCGUGAGAGAGCAGAGUGAGCGGGCAAAACGCUACCGCGUCGAUCCUCUCGCCGCCUCACCUCAGCCGGUGCGCUUGGAUCCUCGAGCAACUGCCCUCUUUCAGGAGGCGAGGGAUCCUGUGGGAAUUGAUGGUCCUCGCGAGGAAAUCAUCCAGCUAUUACAAGUUGAAGAAAAUCAGCACAAGGUGGUGUCCAUCUAUGGUACCGCUGGGCAGGGGAAGACUACUCUAGCCAUGGAGGUAUACCGAAAAAUCACAGGAGCAUUUGAUUGCAGGGCUUUCGUGUCUGUCUCUCAGACUCUGGAUAUGAAGAAUCUACUCAGAGAGAACUUUUUUUUAUUUUUAACCCUUUUUUUUCUUUAUUUUUAAAAAUAACCUCACCCGGGUUUAAUUUGCGCGGCGUGACCCUUUUGACCGCGCCAGACCGCCUGGUGCGGCAGGAACACGCUGCCGCGCCGCAUGCACUGGCGCGGCGGCCCCUGCCACGCUGGCGCGGCGAGUCGCGGCGCCAGGUGGGCGCUGACGUGGGCGGGGCGUUCGCCGCGCCAGCCCGCCUGGCGCGGCAGAGCCAGCACUAGAUCGACGCGCCGGCUCCCUUCCUCCUCCCUCCCUCCUUUCUUCCUCCUCCAGACACACCCGAGCCCAAGCUUGCAGCGCCGCCCCCCGCCGCCCCACCCCCAAAUCCACCCAAAAUCCGGCGUUUUUGGUGGGGGAAAGUAGUGGAAAUCGAUCCUUGCUUCGUGUGGAAGGUAUUCCCCUACUUAUUCUCGUGUUUUACCAUUGCAUUUGGUAGAUCGGAGGAUGUUUAGGUGACUUAGGGUUAGGUUAGUGAAGCGUCCCCACAUAAGUAGAGACUAAAUGUGAUACAAAUAUCAGUCCCAGGAGGCUGAUAGCACAUUUAUUCGACAGAUAAUUCAGUUACCGUACAACUCCUGAGGGAGUGGGCGUGAGAGCCACGCAGCGAUAAACAGUAAAUAAAUAACGGCGGCUAACCAAGCGACUGCCAAAAGACAGCACUCGGGACUACACGGCAGCAGCAGCAUCUUGGAAAGGCCAACACCACAGGCAGCGUCGGGUGCGGACACAACCUCUACUCAAGGUCCUCAACGACGAAGUCCGGGUCUUCCUCUGUAGCAACAAAGCAAGGGUGAGUACAAACGUACUCAACAAGUCCAACCCCAUCCACGGAGGGGGAUACAAGUAUAUGCACAGGUCACAACAAGGAUAGGCUAGAGUUUAUUUGCGGUAAAGCCAAAUUUUAACACAUGCAGGGGAUCGUUUUCGAAAGGGUUUUUGUAAAGUUUUCCUUUAGUACCCGAAAUAUUGGGGUGGGGUUGAUCCUACACAAGGGAUCCAAGUUUUUAUCGCUAUCGGACUCCUCGUCCGCCAUAGCACACAGCACAACUGCCGGACUCUUCCAAAAUCCAACACACACACACACAUGACAUUCUUGCCCAAUUGCUAGUUAUGUGACCAAGCCGUAACUCGUCCAAUGCCGUGGACACGGCUACCCGGAUAGGUUUUAACUCUGCAGAGAGUGUACACUUUUCCCACAAGUAGGGUACCGUAUCGCGAUCACCUUAGUGACGGUACGGAUCCUAACAAAGCCAUUACCCACCUUAGCUAAGACUGGCUAGCCCUCACGGAAACACCCAAGGGGUUCACGGCUCGUCCACGAGACCGUAACUGGGACCUAAGUCACCAAGAUCUUACUCCUUUUCCAUGGGCUCCCGUUGCUCACCAGCACCCCUGAGGACUAACAAUUCAGCUAGUGGGGUUUAUGCUAGGCCGUUGCCCAUACAACGGUCGAGUGGUUGCACGAUGGCGGAAUUAGGCAAGAUGACACAUCAACUCGGUCCUUAAUUACGACAAGAUGGAUAUCUCCCGACAUUGCUCAACCACCAAGGUACGAGCACAACAAACUAGCAUCCCACACAAGGAAUACCCAUCCAUCCUGUCUACACAUCCUUUUCCCUUGAACCCGAAAAGCCAUUUUUCUCACUUGCACACACACACGUUUAUUUUCCGAAAACACCAUGGUAAUAAUGAUUGCAGUUGAGUAAUAAAUUCCUAAGCGUUCUAGCAGUGGUUAUCAUCUAAACAGAGCAAGUCGUAUUUAGAGAUAAGCAUAGGAUAGCAAGGAAUGUUCAUAACAAUCAAGGGGUGGCUAUCCAACCAUGUCUUGCGAUGAAAUAAUAUGCAUUUUGUAAAACCGGCCAAUAGGUUGUGUUUGAAAAACUAGGUAUUAAGUAUGCAUCAAAGGGUGAGAUUGGACUUGCCGUCUUCAAAGCCUUCCGGGAGUUCCGGCUCGCGGUACUGGUCCUCGGGCUCGGGCUCGCGGUCAAACUCCUCCUCGGGCUCCUCCUCGGGUAAUUCGCGAUCUACGGCACACACAAACAGACACACAAAUAAAUAAAAGAGGAAACGGUUUUUAACCGUGAGCUCCGAACAGGAAACGUGAACGGAAAAUAGGUAGAAGGAUUAUUUUUGGGAAAUUUGGAUAUAGAUCGGCGGAAGUAUUCCUGAAGAUGACGUGGUGAAAUUUGGGUUUAAUUGGAGGAAGUUUGGCGCAUGAAAUGACGGGUUAAACAUGAAUUAGGGGCUUAAACGGAGGUUUAGGACUGAUUUAUAAUAAACCAGGGACCUAUUUGUAAAUACUUUUGGAGGUGGAGGGGCUUAUCUGUGAAAAGGCUAUGAGAGAGAUGGGGGAUCUAUGUGUAAUUUGGGGAAAGUUGGGGGUCAGAUCCAAAAUCUGGGUAUUCUUAUCCUCUUCUCCAGGAACUUGGAGAGAGGGAGAGUGGGGAGAGGAUAGGCCGGCGGCCGGCCGGCCGGGCUUCGCCGGCGGCGAGCCGUGGGCGGAGGGGCGGUGGAGGGAGUUGAGGGGGCCCCAUUUUGCCUCACCUCGGGCAGGUGGCGUUGGAGGAGUGGCGGGGCACCGGCGCCCGUGGGGCGGCGGCGGCGGCAGGGAUGCGGCAGCGGCGGAUUGGCGACGGGCGGCACAGGGGUGGAGGUGGCGAGCUGGGAGGGGAAUGGUUUGGCAAGGGAGGCCGGUCGUGCCCCUAUUUAUAGGCCGACGGGGUGGUGACCGGAGGUAGGGGCCGGUUACUGGCCGGCGGCGGAAGCUCGGCGGCCACGGCACCGGUGGCAUGCCGGGCAGGAGGUAGGGCCGGCGAGGCGGCGUGGUGCGGGGCCGAGACGGCCGGCACGGGAGGGCGGCGUGCGGGACCGGGGAGGCCGGCGCCGGAGUGGAUGGCGCAGGCGGCCGGGGACCGGACUGGGCGCGCGGUUCGAGGGAGGCAGCGGCGUGGCUGGCGCCGGGACGGGCGACGGGCCCCACACGCGGGGAGGCCGAGCGGCGUGGCGCCAGGAAGAAGGAAGAGAAGGAGAGAGAAGAAGGAAGGAGGAAGAAGAAGAAAGAAGGAGGAGGAAGAAGAAAGAGCGGCGUGGACUUACUUGCAAUUUCAGCCAUGGCAUCGAGACAAUGCUCUUCCCACAUUCUAUCACGUGUGGAAGCAUGUGCGGCCCGUUCGUGGCAAUCCGGAUAGGUGCUACAGGGCCUACACGAACGAGUUUGAUGUUCUCACGCACUACCAGGUAAUUUGCUAACCAUAGUUUUUUAAGCUAAUUUGCGUAUAAUCGUAGAUGAAAUAAGUAUUGCGUGAAAAUUUUUGAAGGUGGAGUGGAAAUCGUAUGACCGUGAGCAGCUUAGCCAUAUCGUCUUUUCACCGACGUGCUACAGAGACAGAGAGCUGUGGAGGUGCACGACCCCAAUGAUAUUGUACUACGUGGUAGAGUUUCAUAUGCCGCAUAGGGUGAUGCGGCAGUUUGGGAGGAUGCAACCGUGCCCUCCUUUGGAAUUAUCGACUUCGCAGCAGCUGCACAGGUACGCAGGAAUAAAUAACUAUUGGAGGCUAUUCAAUUAACGCAAUUAACAUGUUAUACUAAUACUUCACUAAUUUCUGAUGCAGUAUCGACCGCAGAAAGCGGUACAAGGAGAAUGAUUGGAGGUUGAAGCAUGGCCAGUACCUCCUCCUGUGGCAGAACAAGCAAGGAUGCGAUCCUGAAGGUGGACCGUACUGGCGACCAAACAAUGAGUACAUAAGAUGGUACUGUACUUCGACGAGAACCAAAGUGAAACCAUCUUGGACUAAUGUGCCCAUUGAGGAUGCACCGUCUGAUGAUGACGCUGACAUAGCUGACGCGUACGACACGGUGACACGCCAUGGGACACAGCCUGAGCGUGCACCUCUCCACGACUACAUGGUAAGAUUUCGGUUUGUAAUUAUAGUAUCGUCACAUUGAUCACUUAUGGAAUGAAAACUCCUGCGUGCAGGGACAGCAGCUUGCAAGGCUCUCAAACGAGGCGGGCGUGAUUAUGGAGCACGCUGUCGGGGAAGGUGAUAGUCUGCUUCGUGCUUUUGCAGAGGUAGAAGCCCAAACUAAUUUUCACUUAUACUCGUACUAUCUUUGUAACCAUCAAUAACAUAGUCGUGAAUAUAUGGCAGAGGGUUCGUAAAAGUUGCAGGCGAAUGGCUAUGAGGAUGAACUGCAUGACAUCCUCAGAUGCGCACGACGGGGGCAAUGUCCAGGGUACUUCUUUAGGAUCACGUCGGACUGCAUUGGCGACUACCCCCAGGGCUGCAACACCGUCCACUGCGGCAGGUCCUAGCAGGAGAUCGCGAGGUAAGGAACCCGCAUCCCCUCAGGAAAGCGAGGACUCUGAAGGUGAGCAGUCUGAGGAUGAUGACCCUACGUAUGGUGAGGAACUCGAGAUUUCUCACGAUGCUCCACCUGUGACUCAGACGCAGGGAGAGUCCAGCCAGGUAUAUUCACAAGUUUCUCCAAAUUCAAUUAUACAUUUUAAUGUUCGCUCCCGAAGUGUCAUACAAAUUUUAUGAUUUGUGCCCAAUUAUUUCAUAGGAACCUACAACUCGUACCCGGUUGCCACGCCGGCGUCAUCGUUCCCGGGACCACAUCGACGUUGGCAGCGCCAAUGUGCUGCCCACGCAUCCAAGGAGGGAGCGUCGCCCAAGAGAUCCUUUUAGCCCUCCGGAUGAGCGGCGGUCACGACACUGAACCUAGCAUGUCCCAAGACUUUUGGAACCAUCACGUGUGUAAAAGACUAAGUUGGUUGUUAGGUUUAUUCAUGUCACGUUUGUAAAAGACUAAGUUGGUUGUUACAUUUUUUUUAUGUCCGUACAAUGUUAUAUGUUUGCUCCAUGAUGUACUUGUAGUUCGUGUAUUUUUUCGUAAAUGUUCAGAACAAAAAUACGUUUCGGAUUGUGCAGCGCGGUCCUGACGCCCCACCCUCCUAGGCUGAAACCUACUGAAAGGUUACUAAAAUUGACGCCCCAUCCCCCCCGGAAACCUACUGACCCCCCGCCCGAAACCUACUGAAAGGUCGUUGCGUUUGGCGCGGCACCUGACUCCUGCCGCGCCAGGUGGCCUGGCGCGGCAAGACCCCCCCCCCCCCCCGACCGAAACCUACUGAAAGUUUGGUGCAGUUGGCGCGGCAACUUCCUCCUGCCGCGCCAGGCCGGUUGGCGCGGCACCUUACUCCUGCCGCGCCAGGCCGCCUGGUGCGGCAAGAGUCCCCCCCGACCGAAACCUACUGAAAGUUUGGUGCAGGUGGCGCGGCACCUCAAUCCUGCCGCGCCAGGCCGCCUGGCGCGGCAAGGACCCCCCCCCCCCCCCCCCCCCCGCCCGAAACGUACUGAAAGUUUGGUGCAGUUGGCGCGGCACCUCAGUCCUGCCGCGCCAGGCGGCCUGGCCCGGCAAGGCCCCACCCGAACCCUUGUGGCGGUUCGUUUUGUUUGCCGCGGGACGGCCCCCACCAACCGAACUUUCAGCGGCAAGCCCCCUCCCCUGCCACCAGCGCAUUUCUGCUUCGCCAGGCGGAGUGGCGCAGCAAGCCCGUGGUUAGGAUAGAGAAUAAUAUUUAUUAGUAGGCCCGGUAAUUCUGGCUACAUUUAACACAAGGCACAUGGUACUGACAAGACGCCCACAAAGUGUUCUGCAAUAGGAUUAGAUCAGACCGGUGCGCAAUCAUGGAUAAGAAUAACACACACGUGCAUUAAAUGUUAGGGGUACGUAUUUCCCCAUUCGUACUUCGUCUUCUACUAUUAUUGCAUCACAAAUACCUUCAAGUACACCCGCUCUACCAGCGCUAUGCCUUCCUCCUCUUCCACCGCCCACUCCUCCUCGUCCUCCAUCCAAAUCAUCGAUCCCAUCGAAGCUACUACUAUUUUUUUCACACUCUAGCGCUGACUACUAGCUCGGAGAGGAAACUUUGAUGCGUUUGGACAUAGUUCUCUCGGAAAUGAAAAUAGUUUUUGACAACUAAUUGUAGUUCCCAGAAUAAACAUAAACAUAAUUUUCUCAUAAAAGAACAUAGUUUUCACAGCUACAGAGAAACAUGAUCCAGCUACAUCAACACGUUCAUCUAGUCCGAGUCACCUUCAUAUAGUAACUCGUCGUCAUCAUCAUCAUCAUCAUCAUCAUCUCCGGCAACAACAACUCCCUUGCGUUUCUUAUCGACAUUAACCUUACCAACAGGUAAAUCGGCAACAAGAGCCUUCAUCGUCUCCAUCUGUGCCUCUUCCGCUUUUUGUUGUAACUCUUCCAUUUCAAGCCUUCUUUUUCUUGCCCUAACUUUCUGCAAAUAUUGUUCCCAUGAACCCUCAGGGUAUUUCACAUUCGGAUCAACCACAUAACCUAAGCGAUCUCUUUCCUCCCUCAACCUUUGUUUCUCCAACUCCCUCUCCUCCUGCAACUUUCUCCUAUUUUCUCUCCUCUCAUUUUCAGUUAGAGGUCGUGGAUACUUGGAUCUAUUUUGCCUCCAAUACUUAAUAAUAGUUUCCCUUGCAUAAAGUCCUUUAGGUUCCACUCCAGUCUCAUGCACCAUAUCUUGAUAUAUUUUCCCCCAAAGCAAGUCGUCGUCAGGAAUAGGCACAUCAUACUUCUUCCUAAUCUUUUCUUUAAUUUCUUGUUGUUUCCUUGACUUCCAUGGUUCCGAUGUAUUUCCCAACUUUAAUAACAAAUCAUAUCGACCACAAAAAUCUUCCCAAUCACAUGUCCUUCCCUCCUGCAACAACAAUUCAAUAUUCCUUACAAAUUUGAAACAAGUUACAACCUUCAUAAAACAUAAGAGACGAGUAGUUACUAACCCAGUAAUCGCCAUGUGCAUUUCCACAGAACGAACCAUAUCCAAGUUCAGAAGGCACCACACCUUCUGUUGCCAAUAUACCACACUUGCAUCUAUCACUAGGAGAGGACACACAUGGCCACGGUGCAUUUUCACUUUCAAACUCCCGCACUUCCUCCUCUGUUGGCCACAUUGCCAUUGGGCCGUAUAUAUACUCAUUGAAAUCACACAACGGCCACCCAUCCUGCAAAAAACCCAUGACGUGAACUACUCAUAUGUAAAGUAACUACAAAACGCUGCUCCAACUUCCAAGCAAUAACAUCAAGUUAAAGUAUGAACAAUAUACUGCAAAAUUAUAACUGCUAGCUAAACGACAUACUAAUAUUCUCGUAAUAUACUUACAUGAGUCUUUAGGGAGCAUCGAAAGAAUGGAGUAAACUUAGGUGGAUCCCCUAAGUUAGGACGCAUAAGCUUAGCAGGAACACCACACUUGCACAUGGGAGGAUCCCUCACACGCCUACAAGCAGCCUCCUGCUUCUCCUCCUCGGUCAUCCUAGGUGGGUUUGGUGGAGGAGGAACCCAACGCCUAAACUGAUGGUAUGGUUUAAGCUCUGUGCUAUGAUAUGUGAAUAGGUGGAUCCUAGGAUCAUAUUUGUCGGGUCCAUCGAUCCACUGAAAGAAAUCACAAGGUGCGGCAGGCAGUGGAUCAAAAGUCCAUUUGCAUACAUAGAAGGCUCUUCCGGCUGUCUUUGGAUGCCUUGAUUGUUUCACCUCUGCUUGCGCGCCACAUCUACAAAGAGGUACCGGAAGGGCAGGAGGUACGGGACCAGCACCAUUGGACUCGCCCACAUAACGCACAUACCACCUACGCCGUUUGUAUUCACAACCAAACAACGCCAUCUCACCUGGAAAUCAAGUGCAACAAAUUUAAUACACAAAUAAACUUUACACACGUAAUCCAUACUAGCUAUAUACAUCAUUUUGAUAAAAUGUAAACACUCGAUCUACAAAAUACAAACACUGAAACAAAAAUGAGACUAAUUAAUUGAAGAUAUAAAAAAAAUACAUGUCAUGUAAACCACACAAUUGGAUGAAUAUAUACCUAAAUCGAAGCAUUCAACAAGUUCUACACGUCAAUAUCGCGGGCAGAGACUCAAUUGCGUAUGAACUACGUAUCAUCUAACACAAAACACCAUUGCAUUUCAUUGAAAUUUCAAAUCACUAACCUAACCCUAAGUCACCUAAACAUCCUCCGAUCUACCAAAUGCAAUGGUAAAACACGAGAAUAAGUAGGGGAAUACCUUCCACACGAAGUAGGGAUCGAUUUCCACUACUUUCCCCCACCAAAAACGCCAGAUUUUGGGUGGAUUUGGGGGUGGGGCGGCGGGGGCUGGCGUUGCAAGGUGCUGCUGUGUGGUGUGUCUGGAGGAGGAAGAAAGGAGGGAGGGAGGAGGAAGGGAGCCGGCGCGUCGAUCUAGUGCCGGCCCUGCCGCGCCAGGCGGGCUGGCGCGGCGAACGCCCCGCCCACGUCAGCGCCCACCUGGCGCCGCGACUCGCCGUGCCCGUGCAUGCGGCGCGGCAGCGUGUUCCUGCCGUGCCAGGCGGUCUGGCGCGGCCAAAAGGGUCACGCCGCGCAAAUUACACCCGGGUGAGGUUAUUUUUAAAAAUAAAGAAAAAAAGGGUUAAAAAUUAAAAAAAGUUCACUCAGAGAUAUAUUGUCUCAAAUAGUAAGCAAGAAUGAGUUUGACCAGUUGUAGUCGGAAAAUUGGGAGACGCUGCAGCUCAUAUGCAAAAUGAGAGACUACUUAAUUGGCAAGAGGUAACCAGAAAUACUUUCUUGUACUAUAAUAAUUAGCCAGUUCAUCUAGCUAUGGCAAUGUUGUGAGGUCUUUGUCAAUCACAUGAGCUCACCUAAUUUAUCGGCCAUUUUACGAUUGUAUUUUACGGACCCAUUCGAGCACUACGGGAAACCUCAAAGUCGCCGAGUGUAAUUACUUCACCGAGUGCAUUUUUUCGGGCACUCGGUGAAGGACCUUUUUGCCGAGUGUAAUAUCAAAAACACUCGGCAAAAAUCAAACACUCGGCGAACGACCGGUUUGCCGAGUGCCACCCAAAAAACACUCGGCAAACAUCCAAGAGACACUCGGCAAAGUUGGACACUCGGCAAACUGACGACCACGUGACUUCCCCGUGCCGCCGCCGGCAGCCCUCCGUGACGGACGUUAGUCUUUGCCGAGUGUCAAUGGAGGGCACUCGGCAAAGGCACUAGUUUGCCGAGUGUCAUGAUGGGACACUCGGCAAAGUGGCCUGUAUGCCGAGUGCUAGGGGGCACACUCGGCAUACUAUAGGGUUUGCCGAGUGUCUUUUGACACACUCGGCAAAAAUAAUUUUUUUUCCCUCCUCCACCCUCCAAACUUUUUACACUCCACAUGUAUGGCAUUUGGCACUGCAUGGUAGAAGAUGGACUAUUUUUUGACCUGUUUGCUAUAUUUAAUCAAUUAAUUUCAUUUAGAGUAAUUUUUUGAUUUAAGUCAAAUUUGAACUGCAGGUGGUUGGAAUAAUGGAAUAACAUGAGUGGAAAAAUCAUAUUCAUGUUAGUGAGUCCAAAUUGAGGUCUCACCCAGAAAAUGAAAAGAAAUUUCGAACAUUUUGCUAAGGAAACACGACUACGAACGUGUGGCCAAAUGAUUGUUUAAUUCUCAAAAAUACAAACGAAGUUUGAAAAUCAUGAGAUUUUGCAAGAUGCUAUGAUUUCGUAUGCAGAGGCUGUGGUAAAAAAUUGACAAGGUUUCGCACAAGUUUUGACAUAUGAUGUUUAGAAUUCGAAGCAUCUACCGAGAGGAUUCGUAGAAGUUGAAAGGAUCCGGUAAGAUUUUGAGACGAAUCGAUACAUGUAUUUUUCAUUGAGUCCAAUCUUUUUUAUAGGCUAUAGAGAACAUAGAUUGGUUCAUGUCAAAUUUUGGGAAUUUUUCAGAUCCGUUUGGUAAUUUUUAUUCAUUAAUUGCAUGUAUAUAAAUUUAAUAGAUAUAAAUUUAAUAUGAGCUAUAAAUCCAUGAAAUGAUGGAACAAUAUUACUUAAAAAAUGAAAUACGCAAUGUUUAGUGAAUUUGACUAGGUUUUUGCAAACUUUACAAUCUUUUAAUUACUAAAACUAGUUUCACAUGAAAUAAUAGUACUCAUUUGCCGAGUGUCAAGGGAUGGCACUCGGCAAAGAGCCUAUUUGCCGAGUGUCCAAUUUGGGACACUCGGCAAACAUCGCCGCGGUCCACCUGCCAGCCCCCUGCGAAAUCUGAAUAAAAAAAUUAAAAAAAAAUGUUUGCCGAGUGCUUAUGAUCUAGCACUCGGCAAAGGCUUUGCCGAGUGCUAGAUCAUAAGCACUCGGCAAACAUCGCCGCGGUCCACCUACCAGCCCCCUGCGUAAUCCGAAUAAAAAAAUUAAAAAAAAAUGUUUGCCGAGUGCUCCUGAUCUAGCACUCGGCAAAGGCUUUGCCGAGUGCUAGAUCAGGAGCACUCGGCAAAGUGGCCUUGGCAGCACUUAGCCACGCACGCACACGCCCGGCCACACGCACGCACGCCUUGGCAGCACUUAGCCACGCCCGCAGCCGCCCCGGCCCCUGCGCCCGCGCCGCCGCCGCCGCCCGCCCGGGCCGGGAUAAGGCCCCGACCUCCCCUGCGGCCCCGGCCGGCCUCCCCUGCGCCCCCGGCUGGCCUCCCGCGCCGGCCCCCCACGGCCGUCCUCGUCCGGCCGUUCGGCCGCCGCACCGUCCCCCGGCCGCCCCUCCGGUAAGUUGAAAAUAUUAGAGAAUGCAUGAUAACAUUGCAAAGAAUAGAGGAAGAGUAGAAAUUAGAAAAUGUUGAUUCUUCCUUGAAUGGAAAAAUAUUAGAGAAUAGAGGAAGAAUAGAGGAAGAAUAUUAGAGAAUAGAGGAAGAAUAGAGGAAGAAUAUUAGAGAAUGCAUGAAUGGAAGAGAGGUGUGGUUGGUAAUAGAGAAAAUGUUGAUUCUUCCUUGAAUGCACGGUAACAAAUUAGAAAAUGUUGAAAAGAAUAGAGGUGUGGUUGGUUGUGGUUGUGGUUGUUGGCCAUCGUGCCAACUCUUUGGUGAGAUUGUGGUUGUCGGCCAUCGUGCCGUUUCUUAUGUUGCAGGUUUUGGAAAGCUCCCCGUGCAGGGGAGAUGCUGCCGAAAUUUUGACUUAAACAAUGCUUUGUUUCUUUUGUUGCAGGAGAGGCUUACAAGGACCGUCCUCGACUCGUCACUUUGCAGGAUAGCAAGGUGAGGCAUGCUACACCUCUAUUUCCGUAUAAUGUUUGUAUAUCACGUAACCUAGUUAGGCGUCUCCCGUUCGAAAGAGAUACGGUUGGAAAUAUGCAGAUCUUUGCAUAUCUAUAAUCGUAUCUGUUUCAAAUUGUCCACGUUUUUUGGACAGCCCGAGGAUGUGUAGGUGGGUUUAGUAUCCACGGUCUACUCCGACCCGAGAUAAAAUUUCGGCAGCACCUCCCUGUUGUUCUCUAGAUACACAAUCUCCUAUCAUGGACGUGUAUUUGGAGAACAGCGGGGAGGUGCUGCCGAAAUUUUAUCUCGGGUUGGAGUAGACCAUGGAUACUAAACCCACCUACACAUCCUCGGGUGGGAUUAGGACCUAUCUUUACCUAGUAGACAAUAUAGGAAUGUGUAUAUGCAAUGUGAAUUUUGUAUUACUUAUUUAAAUGGUAGAGGAUGGAGGAUCGUCAGUGGAUGUACACGGGUCGCACUAGUCAGAAUACGUUGACCAAUGAAUGGCUUGACAAGACGGAUGCUUUCUUGGAACGGGCGUUUGCAAGUGUCAAUGGAGCUCGAUCGACUUGGUGUCCGUGCAGCAAAUGUGGAAACAUGCGUCGGCAAACCAAGCUAGACAUGGGCAAACAUCUGGUGAAGAACGGAUUUACGUCAGACUACACCAGGUGGAUCUACCAUGGUGAAUCUGACCGUGGGAGAGAGGAGGUCUUGAGACAACGCAUCGAGGAAUUUGAUGAUGAUGCCGGGGUGGGAGACAUGUUAAAUGACUAUCAUGAAGCACACUUCGAAGAGGCACGUAGGGAGGAGGAGCCAGAGGCUACCGCUAAGGCUUAUUACGAAAUGUUGUCUGCGGCACAGCAACCCCUUCACGGCCAUACCAAGAUUUCUCAGCUAGAUGCCAUUGCACGCCUAAUGGCUGUGAAGUCUCAGUUUAGUUUGAGUCGAGACGCGUUUGAUAUUAUGUUGACAGUUUUUGGAAGCCUGCUCCCGGUUGGUCACAUCUUGCCAAAGAGCAUGUAUGAGGCACAGAAACUCCUUCGUGCACUUAAGAUGCCAUACGAGCAUAUACAUGCUUGCCCGAAGGGAUGCAUCUUAUUUAGAAAAGAGUAUGCGGAAGCAAAAUACUGUGUGAAGUGUGAAUCGUCUAGAUUUCUGGAGGUUGACUAUGGUGACGGUCAGAAAAAGCAGCUCGCAAUUCCUGUGAAGGUUCUACGGUAUCUUCCUUUCAUACCGAGGAUCCAACGGCUUUUCAUGACUGAAGAAUCCGCGAAACAGAUGACAUGGCACAAAAAUAGCCGUUGCUAUAAUCCUGAGAAGCUGGUACACCCAUCCGAUGCUGAAGCCUGGAGAAGCUUUGAUGCGAUUUAUCCUGCAAAAGCUCUAGAGGCCCGUAACGUACGCAUUGCGUUGGCAACUGAUGGGUUCAAUCCCUAUGGAAUGGCGGCCGCCCCGUACACCUGUUGGCCCAUUUUCGUUAUCCCCCUGAAUCUCCCACCCGGCGUCCUAUUUCAACGACAUAAUAUAUUCUUGUCGUUGAUAAUUCCAGAGCAUCCGGGGAAUAAUAUGAGUGUGUAUAUGGAGCCUCUGAUUGAUGAUUUGCUCCGUGCUUGGGAGGAAGGGGUAUGGACCUAUGACCGAUCCACAAAGACAAACUUCAAGAUGCAUGUUUGGUACCAGUACUCACUGCAUGACUUGCCGGCAUAUGGGAUUUUCUCCGGAUGGUGUGUUCACGGGAAGUUCCCAUGCCCAAUAUGUAAAGCAUCUUUGAAGUUCAUUUGGUUGUCGAAAGGUGGCAAAUAUUCUUCGUUCGACAAACAUCGACAAUUCCUCCCUCCUGACCAUCCAUUUAGACGAGACAUGAAGAAUUUUACCAAAGAUGUUGUAGUUACAGCCCCCGCACCACCGAUGAUGACAGGGGCCGCAGUUCGUGCUCAGUUAGACGCUCUUGAGUUCAAUAAUGAAGAAGGUGGUUUUUUGGGAUAUGGCGCGCAACAUGCUUGGACGCAGAAGUCGUGCUUGUGGAAGCUUCCCUAUUUUGAUGAUCUCCUUGUUCCACAUAACAUUGAUGUAAUGCACACGGAAAAAAAUAUCGCCGAGGCAAUUUUUGGUACAAUAAUGGACAUUCCUGACAAGACAAAGGAUAACGUUAAGGCUAGAGUGGAUCAAGCGACAUUGUGCAACAAACCACAGCUAAACAUGGCGCCUCCAAGAGCUGGCAAGUCGUGGAGAAAGCCUAAGGCCGAUUUCAUUCUGACGAGGGCCCAAAGGAGGGAGGUUCUAGAAUGGUUCCAAACAUUAAUGUUCCCUGAUGGCUAUGCAGCGAACUUGAAGAGGGGAGUGAAUUUAGCAACUAUGCGAAUCAACGGGCUCAAGAGUCAUGAUUACCAUAUAUGGCUUGAGCGCCUCCUUCCGGUGAUGGUUCGAGGCUAUGUCCCUGAGCAUGUGUGGCAGGUGCUAGCGGAGUUGAGCAAUUUCUUCCGCCGGCUUUGUGCGAAGGAGUUAUCUCGUACCGUGGUUGCAGAAAUGGAAACAAUGGCGCCUGUGUUGCUCUGUAAGUUGGAGAAGAUCUUUCCUCCAGGCUUCUUCAAUCCAAUGCAGCAUAUGAUUCUACACCUCCCGUAUGAAGCACGAAUGGGGGGGCCUGUGCAGGGUCGUUGGUGCUACUCAAUUGAGAGAUGUCAAAAGGUUCUUCGAACUAAAUGUAAGAAUAAGUGCAAAAUUGAAGCAUCCAUUGCAGAGGCAUACAUUCUGGAGGAGGUGUCAAACUUCACAUCGAAAUACUACGCUGACAACCUUCCUAGCGUGCAUAAUCCACCUCCUCGUUACAAUGCUAGUGAAGAUGAAUUAAGCCUUAGCAUUUUCCGAGGGCAACUCGGAAGUGCAAGUGGUGCGACCCUCAAGACCCUUAACCAUGAAGAGUGGCGCUCUAUCAUGCUGUAUGUGUUGACCAACCUAUCUGAAGUGGAGCCGUACAUGAUGUAAGUCAUCGACAAACUUGUUUCGACGUAUUAAUGGUAUCUCUUGCCUAAACGUAUCUUUCUUGUUGGUAUAGGCAAUUUCAUCGUCAAUUCUGGCAUAAAUCAAGGCAACCGGCCCCGCACGAAGCUGAGACUCUUCUUAAAGAGGGUGCGGGAAAUGGAAUGCCCGAUUUCAUUUCUUGGUUCAAACAGAAGGUACAAUUUCAUUUCUUCGAACAUUCUCGUUCUCGUCCGAUAUAGAUUUCAACCCAGACGACCCGUCCGAGGCGUACAGCCACCCUAGCAUACACAGCCGCGUCAGCGAGUACACAAAGAUGGCUAGGGAGGUUCACGGGCCAGACUUUGAUCCGAGCUCCGAGGACAUUGAUGGACAAAUCGUGAUGAGGGUGGGAGGAGGCAAGAAGCAUGGCCGAUAUUGGAUUGGCGACGGCGUCAUCGACACGGCCUCUACUCCCACUCUCUCCCAGAUUCGAGCUAGGAGCACGGACUCGAGCCCGGCGGUACGCCCAUGACCCACCGCUGCAUAGUUCCAGAUGGAGGCUCUACAGGUUCUUUCUCUUCCAUUCAUCGUUCGUUUGUUGUUGUACUUUAGCUUUGCAUUAUAACAUUGCAAUGAAAUAUUGUAGGCCCAGGUGGAAGAAUCAAGGAAGAAACAAGAGGAGAUGGCGGCGCAGAUGGAGGAAAUGCGGCGGAGGAUGAAGGAGGAAAACCGGAUUAGGAUGGAGCAGAUGUUCCAGUACAUGCAGAACUUUGCUUCGAGCAUGGGACAGUCUUUGCCUCCGCCACCGCCGAUGAUGUUCCCUCCGCCUCAGCCACCCACGACUACUCCUGUGAGUCACUUGACACAUUGUGCUUAAGAUUCAAUAGUUUAAAUUUGACAACUUUAGAUGUUACCUCAGAAUGUCCUAUCCUAUGUGCAGAAUCAAUCGGCGGCUUCGAAUAAUGAAGAUCAAGAUUUGUCGCAGUGGUCUCCUUGGCCUCCACGGAAGUAGACUUGGUUGUGAACAAUGUGGAAACUAAAUUGUGACAAGAACUUGGAUUUAUGGAUUAUUUCGUGCUUAUGUUGAAUUAUGCCUGUGAUGUUUAUGAAUUAUGCCUGUGGUUGUGAAUUAUCCAUGUGAUUGUUUAUUACAAAUGCCUGUGAUAUGUGUAUUGUGAAUUGAGAGGGGUCCGUUAUACGUGGCAAAAUGUCGAAAAAGGGGCGGUUCUGGUCACUUUGCCGAGUGUAACACUCAGCAAAGAGGGGCCUUUGCCGAGUGUUUUGGCCUUAACACUCGGCAAAGGGGCAUUUCCCAGGUGUAGGAAAGGUCCUUUGCCGAGUGUUUUGGCCUUAACACUCGGCAAAGGGGUAUUUCCCAGGUGUAGGAAAGGUCCUUUGCCGAGUGCUAUGGUCAAGGCACUCGGCAAAGGGGCAUUUUUUGCCGAGUGCUAUGGUUAGGGCACUCGGCAAAGGGGGCCGCUUUGCCGAGUGCCCGGGACCCGGCACACGGCAAAGGGGGCCGGUUUGCCGAGUGCCCCGUGGAUGACACUCGGCAAAGGUCCGGUCUUUGCCGAGUGUUGGCACUCGGCAAAGACCCGGUGUUUGCCGAGUGCCUCCCGUUUGGCACUCGGCAAACCCGCCGUUACCCCGACGCCGUCAGUCCGCAAUUCGCCGAGUACACCUUUUCGCUGAGUGUUUUUUGGCCGUCGGCAACAUGUUUGCCGAGUGUUCGAGUUUUGACACUCGGCGAACUAGUCUUUGCCGACCACAUAUGCAUUUGUUACAUGAUUCCUCAACCAAUAUAAUGCAUGCAGGUACUUCAUCUUGAUUGAUGAUAUCUGGAAUGUAUCAGAUUGGGAGCUUGUAGAAGCUGCCUUACCUCGCAAUGACAACGGAAGCAGAAUAAUUACUACAACACGCAGUAAAACAGUAGCCGAAACAUGUGCUGGUAUUGACGCACAAAUGUACAAAGCAAAGCCACUUGGUGAUGACGAAUCUCGCAGAUUAUUCUUUAAAAGGCUAUUUCACUCAACUGAACAUUGUCCCCAAGAUUUGAUGGCAGUAUCCAGUGAUAUUUUGAGGAAAUGUGGGGGAUUACCAUUAGCCAAAUCAGUAUAGCUGGUUUAUUAGCAAACAGAAGCCAAACCAAGGAAGUCUGGGUCAAUGCAUUGAAGUAUAUUUCUGCUGCAGUUGACAAAGAUUCUCACAUUGAUAAAAUGAAAAGAAUUUUUCUGCUUAGUUACUUCGACCUUCCUCUUCAUCUAAAGAGCUGUAUGUUAUAUCUGAGCGUGUUCCCGGAGGAUUAUGUGAUUGAUUGGAGCCGGUUGAUAUUGUUAUGGGUAGCCGAAGGACUGAUUCCUGGACAAGGCAGAGAAAAUAUGGAGCAGCUUAGGAGGAGUUACUUGAAUGAAAUUAGAGGCUUGGUCCAGCCAACCAAGGUUGGGGCAGAUGGCGCAACAGCGAAAGAGUGCAGAGUUCAUGAUGUCAUACUUGAGUUUAUUGUAUCAAAGGCUGUGGAGGACAAUUUUGUUACUAUAUGGAAUUGUAAUGGGUUUUCUGAAAAUUAUUCUUCUAACAAGAUUCGCCGUUUAUCUAUCCAAAAUGGCAUUUCUAGGCGGUCUAAAGAGAUGGAGAGGAUAAAAGAACAUGCAACUCAUAUUCGAUCAAUUAAUAUUUUUGACCCUAAUUCAGUGCUGCUAAUUAAAAACACCUCUAUGUUUUUAAGUAGCCAAGUCUUGCGAGUGCUGAAUACAGAAACUCAGGAUGAGUUACUUGAAGAAGAUUGCUAUCUUGGACAUGUCAAAAGUUUUGGUCAAAUGAAGUACUUGAGGUUAAAAUUUUGGUCAUCAAUAUGCCACUGCAAACUCCCAAAAGAUAUAGAAAAGCUGCAACAUCUAGAGACACUAGAUGUUAGGAAUACCCGCAUUAAAAAACUACCGGCUAGCAUUACCCAACUGCAGAGAUUAGUGCGUUUUCUUGUCAAUGCUGAGGUAAAACUACCUGAUGGGAUUGGAAAUCUGCAGGCAUUGGAAGAGCUAUCAUUGAUCGGGUUGAGUUUUCAAACUAUCAAGUUUAUCCUGAGUUGGAAUUUAUUGGGAGUACCCUUAUGCAGUAGUACGUCACGUGGACGUGGAAGUAUGUAUCUCGUCACUCUCCAAGCUUAUCACAACCCUUCGAAAACUGCACGUCGUGGAUGCUCCAUUCAUGUCUUCGUGUGGCUCUACUCCACCACCCCUUCGGAGGCUCAUCUUUUACGGACGUGGUGGACCAUCAAAUCAUCAGCUCAGCAGUCAAGGAUUCCAGCAUUUAUAGUCAAGUCUAAUUUCGUGUGUGCUGAUGAGGGGGUGUUGGAGUUUGAGCCAGGAGCCAAGAUUAAUUAUGAGCACGGGGUCAAGUUGUGGCUGGUGGCACGGGGUCAGUUCAAUUAUGAGCAAGGCGGCCUGGUCCUUGGGCUGCAGAAUCUGGCAGGCCUCAGACAUGUUGCUCUUACUAUUGACUGUGCGUGAUUUGGAGGAUGACAUCAGGGUUGCAGCAGGCGCCCAUCCCAACUGUCCCAUGGUCCAGCUGGUCAAAAAAGUACGUCAAGAUUGUAUGGCUCAAGGGUGCAGCAGGCGCCCACGCAACCAUCCCAUGCUAGAAGCACAAUGACCAAGUAAAUGCAUGGUGUGGAGAAUAAAUAUCAUUAUCAAUGAUGAUCUUUUUUUUCCUGUUUCAAGAGCACGUUGGAAUUAAACAAGGUUAAUUCGAUUUGUUUUCAUCUUAGUUUUUGCUUUAUGACAACAUGUGUGCGCAUGCAGAUUGGCCUCUCGGAUCUAUGGAGUGCUGAUAUGUGUUGCUUGAUAUGAUGGUGUUGUGUCGAGGUGGGUUUGGGAUGUGUGCUUGGAGCGAAGGCAUUUGCCCUUCGCCGGGCCAACGAUGCUGACACCUGUUGGUGCCACAUCCCUCUCUAUUGACUACGAAGGAGUGACUACGUUAAGCUCUUCCUCCAUAUAUGGAUUGUAGGUUGCUACGUAAUUUUGAGACGUAUGUUGAGUUUAAGAUCUUAUGUUGUUUAUCACUUACUGGAUCUCUUUCUUCUUUCUUUCUUUUAUAUUUCCUUUUGACAAGGUUGUGUGUUGUUGCAUAGGCGGCUGGAAUCUAAGCUUUCUUCAUCCAAAAGAAGAUUAUGUAAAACAACCAGAAAGAAACAAAAGGGGGGCGGUUAAUCUCCUUCUAAGGGGAUUAGGGUGGGGGGAUUUUGACUGGUAGGGGAUGUUUUGUAGGAGGAUGUGCACCACAACAUAAGUAACAUGGAAUCUGUGGGUACACUUUUGGCAACAUACCUUCAAACCACAUUCUAUGCAACAAUAAUCUUGUGCAAACCAUAUAUAGCUAUGCCCACCAUUUUUAGAACAAUGUUCAAUAGACUACCAUAUGUAUAUGAACGUGCACGAUGGAUAUUAGAGACAAAACAUAGUAGUAGUAUAACUUGCACAAAACUACAUUUAUGAUCUUUUGUAUUUGAGCCAGGAAGUUCUUUCAAAAGAUAACCCACAAGAAAGCACGCACUGGUCUUGUUGUGCACUAUACGUUAGGUGUUGCAAUUGCAUAUAAUCUGUUUUAUUUAGUUAGUUUGAACAACCGUGCAUGGCUAGGCACUUCCGAAAGGCUUCACUUCAAGUAAUUGUCAAACCAGUCGAUCAUUAGACCAAGAGCUUGCUCAGCAGUUUAUAUCUACAAGCAAAUCCAUGUGCAACUCCUGGAAAGACCUUGGCGUAGUAGGGAAUCUGCAAACAACCAAUGCCACAAAAAUGAGCUUUUCCAACUGAUAUAUAGUAUCCUCUAUGACGGAAUCACUAGGAACUCACCUCUGUUCUAUGACGCAAUACACUCACAUACUGGUACACUAGUUUUGGCGGUGCGACUUCGUCAUAUUGAGCUCCAAGGAUCUCGAUUGGACAUUUAACCUCUGUUUUGAAUGGUCAUAUAGUUAGCAUACGAAAUUAAGCACUUAAGUUCAGUUCCAAAGACAUCUCAAUCGAUGCUGUCUGGGAGGUUGCAAACACAAAGAAAAGGAGCAAACCUUUCAUGUCAUCAGUAGUCACAAUGUAAGGAUGAGAAAUGGAAACUACUUUAACAUCACUGGUUUUCCCCAUCUCUACACUAAACUUUCCUGUCAGUUACGCGGCAAUAGGAGAUAAGAAUUUUAUGCUCUGUAUGUUGCCUGAAGAAGGAUUUUGGAAGCUGGAAUUUCACUCACCACCCCAGCAAUAACCUCCCACCCCGAUGGACUUUCCUUCCUUUUUGAAAGCAGCAAAGAGUGGCUUGGCGUCUUUGGCAGCUUUUACCUGCCAGAUCGAUCGGAUACUCAAAUCAAUAUAUUUUCAACUCAUGAUGCAAUGAGCAUAAGAUGAAAUUUGAAAGGGACAUGGAACAGACCUGGGAGUGGAGCUUGAUCCACUCUGAAAUGUUUUUACUUGAGUCUAAAUAAUCUCCAUUGAAGAAAUCAGGCACCACAACAAAGUAUCCAGCCUCGCUAACUUUAUCGGCUAUCUGUCUGCAUCAUUAAAAGAUCAAGAAAGGGAUGAACAAUAGCUAGUACAGAGAGGGAUUCUUGCGUCGUUGUACUCCAAACAAAAUGCAAUCUAUCUCAUAUGAGAAUUAACUUUCACUGGAUUGUCUUUUUUUUGGAAAAAAAAACUGUACUGUAUUUUACUCUGUACAGAAGCACAAAGCAUUGUUAUGUUUUUUAAAAAAAGAUAGUCAAAUAAAAUUUGCUCUAGAUCUUCAAAGUCUCUAAAAUCAUUUGUUGAUAUUUAAAAGCAGUUUGCUAUGGUUAUGAUUGCGUUGCUACUUGCUACAAGCAUCAUAAGGGAGUACUAAGCAGGAAAAAUCGAAAGCAUGCCAGCCGAAUGAUCUAGUUCUUCAAAGUCUCUAAAAUCUGGAGAGAUGCUAGUUGACCAAGAACAGAGCAUCUUGAUCUACGAUAGUAAGCCAGAGUAGAGCAAGAAAGAACACAAAAUUUGGGAAUUAAAAGACCGUAGAUAUAUUUAUGUACCUGAGUAAAGGUGCCUCGAACCCUGAGGAAAUCAAUCAAAAAGUGGAGAAAAAUUUCCUGUCAAAACGUACGCCCAAAUUGACUAGAAACUGCAUAAGUGUAGUACUACGGUCGAAACACCAACCGAAAACAUCGGAGGCGAGGACGAUGGCGCGGCUUGAGCUUGCAGCUGAAGGAUUGAAAGGGCGAUAAAAGGAGGUGAAUGGGAGCCUAUAAAAAUUCUCAACAAGAAUAAGGCCUAUGUCCCAAAUGCAACCCCAAAGCACACAGCACGUUGUAUCGUCAAGAUGACGCAAGUCAACUCGUGACAAGCUCAUCCUAGGAAUGAUACACGUAUCGAAAGCAAAGUUCAAAGUGAUCCGAAUACGUGCUUGACAUGGCGGAAACAUAAAGUGACUCACAAUCAGAUUCAAGCAAGCCCACAAAAAACUUACUCAACUAAGCAUAAUUAGCAAGAGAGAAAACACAUUAGUACUCAAGCAAGUGAACAAGUAUUAGUUGGCUAAGUGUUAGGAUUAACAGAGGAUUAGAAAAGCUAAUUUAACACCGAACAACAAUGGAUUAGAACGGUGCUAUCAGCCAUGUGCAAGAACUAAUAAUGAUUACUCAAUGAUUUGAUCACUGUAGCUAGAAAGCAACUCUUCGUGGCACGAAGGCACUACCUGCUACUUGCGUUGCUUGCCUGCUCGCUGCUUGGCUUGUCGCCGUGCUUGCGGCCUGGUCUGGCCCGCGACGCAUCAGCUACUCCUGGGUCGCAAGCUCCAGACGGCCUGCUAGCGAUCAGCACCUGGGGCAGCCUGCCAACUCGCUGGGCUGCCGGCCUGCGAAGGCUGCUGGGCCGCUGCUUGCUUCCACCGGCCCGCGUGCCGCUCGCUGUGAACGGCCUGGCAGCAAGUGUAGCGCUGCUCCGUCACCUGCGCACCCGAACAGAAGGAAACGAAGAACAGAGAGAAGAACAGCAAGAACACCCAAGAACACACGUAACUUCGAAUCGUGAGAUCUCCUUCCGCACUCCACGCAUCAAGAUGAAACUUGACCCAAGGAUGCACUACCCUAGGAAAAAUAGAUCCAUGAGACAAAUCACGAAAAUCUCAAGUAUUCAUCGCAAAUCUUAGGGAAAAUCAAAACCCUAACUCAAACUCGGUUUUGGAAGAAACUCAAAAUUCAAGUCGGAUUCGUGAGAUAUAUGGAAGGGGAUCAUAUUAAAGAAGCUCCACGAAGUCCUAGCAACAUUCCCCUUUAACCAAACUCACGAGAUUCGGGCUCCAACAAGAUGAACGAAAAUUCUCAAAAAUGAGUCCAAAAAUAGGAAAAAAGAAAAACGCUCGGGAACAAAGAUUUUGCACGAUUUGAGACAACAAACCACACUAAAUCACGAGAGCAUCUUCUUUACAAAAGAGGGCUAGCCUCCUCCCUUCAUCCACCCACUAAAAGAUGAAAAAAUCAAGAGAAAAGAGUAAUCACUCUCUAAUCUCCCUCUCUCCUCUCACUUUAAGCACAUGACUAGCCUCUAAGCCAAAAGAUAAUGAGUUGCUAAGCAAAGAGGUGCUGAAAUAACCAGCCCCCCAUCCCUAUUUAUAGUCCAGGACGAAAGACUAUACUACCACUACAGCUAUAACUAAGAUAACUACCCACGCAGGGGCAUUUUGGUCCAAGUUUUUAUCUGCGCUAAGACUAUACUACCCCUAUAGCUACAACUAAGACUAUAAUGUUUUGCUUUUCGUGGUCGAAAAGAUUAGAUAGAUAUUUUGUACUGUAGUUGCUCAUCACUCCAAUUAUGUACACUUCUUCGCGCGUUAGGUCCCGUUUGGAUACCCUGCUAAAGUUUAGCACCUGUCACAUCGGAUGUUUGGAUCCUAAUUAGGAGUAUUAAACAUAGGCUAAUUACAAAAUUAAUUGCACAUAUGGAGUCUAAUUCGCGAGAUGAAUCUAUUAAGCCUAAUUAGUUCAUGAUUUGAUAAUGUGGUGCUACAGUAACAAUUUGCUAAUGAUGGAUUAAUUAGGCUUAAUAGAUUCGUCUCGCAAAUUAGCACAGGAUUCUGCUAUUAGUUUUAUAAUUAGCUCAGGUUUAGUCCUCCUAAUUAGCAUCCGAUCAUUUGAUGUGACACUGUUAAAAUUUAGCACAUAAAUAUCCAAACACCCCCUUAUUUCAUUUUUGAUCUUGGAGUCGCCGCUGCCGACCUCGAGACUGGACUAGGGUGGCUGGCUUAAUCCCACCCUGCUGGGAUCAGCCUCCAUGGGGGCGACAGAUGCCACUGCCUAGGCAUGGUGGUGGCUGUUGCUGUAGCCCAGCGUUUGCAGGUGUACUGUGUCCCUGACAAUAUGUGUGCGCAUGCAGAUUGGCCUCUCGGAUCUAUGGAGUGCUGAUAUGUGUUGCUUGAUGGUGUUGUGUCGAGGUAGGUUUGGGAUGUGUGCUCGGAGCGAAGGCCUUUGUCCUUCGCCGGCAAACGAUGGUGGCGCCUGUUGGUGCCAUAUCCCUCUCUAUUGACAACGAAGGAGUGACUACGUUAAGCUCUUCCUCCAUAUAUGGAUUGUAGGUUACUAGGUAAUUUUGAGACGUAUGUUGAGUUUAAGAUCUUAUGUUGUUUAUCACUUGCUGGAUCACUUUCUUCUUUCUCUCUUAUAUUUCCUUCUGACAAGGUUGUGUGUACUACCUUGUUACAUAGGCUAGAAUCUAAGCUUUCUUCAUUCAAAAGAAGAUUAUAUAAAAUAACUAGAAAGAAACAAAAGGGGGCGGUUAAUCUCCUUCCAAGGGGAUUGGGGUGGGGGAGAGGGGGAUAGGGAUUUUGACUGGUAGGGAAUGUUUUGCAGGAGGAUGUGCACCUCAACAUAGGAGGCGUUUGGUUCCCUUUGCUUAUUUUGAGCACGUGUCACAUCGAAUGUUUAGAUACUAAUUAGGAGUAUUAAACAUAGACUAUUUACAAAACCCAUUACAUAAGUGGAGGCUAAAUGGCGAGACGAAUCUAUAAGCCUAAUUAAUCCAUCAUUAGCAAAUGUUUACUGUAGCAACACAUUGUUAAAUCAUGGACUAAUCAAGCUUAAUAGAUUCGUCUCGCAAUUUAGCCUCCACUUAUGUAAUGGGUUUUGUAAAUAGUCUACGUUUAAUACUCCUAUUAGUAUCUAAACAUUCGAUAUGAUGGGUGCUGAAAAUAAGCAAGAGGAACCAAACCAGGCCAUAAGUAACAUGGAAUCUAUGGAUACACUUUUGGCAACAUACCUUCAAACCACAUUCUAUGCAACAAUAAUCUUGUGCAAACCAUAUAUAACUAUGCCCACCAUUUAUAGAACAAUGUUCAAUAGACUACCAUAUGCAUAUGAACGUGCACGAUGCACUACGAGAAUGUCCAAGUUUGCCGUGUGUCCACGGCACACGACGAAGCCAAAAAAACCUCAGCAAAGCCUUUGCUGAGUGGGCAUACAUAGUGCCGGUAAAAAUUUCUUUGCUGAGUAUUUUUUAUCGGGCACUCAGCAAAGACUUUUUUUUUAAGAAACAGGAGGGGGAGACCCCUACUGAAUUUAUUAAAGAGCUAAACAACAAAAGGGUCCAAAUACAAAUCAAGACCGAGAGAUCAAAAAUAAAAUAAAAAAGCAAGAACCAAAAGUAAGAACUGGGAACAACAUUUACAGGGAAUCUACCAAGCUAACAUAAGUGACUGGAUCUGGGUCUUGGCCCUAUGAAGAGCUACCAUGCGAAAUUCCGAGACAAAUUUCCGUUUGAUGUUCCUGAUCAUCGGAGCAGAAUUAUUGAAGAGCAGACUUUGCCAGUGCUAAAAUUGACGCUCGGAAAAAAAAAGCAACAUGACAGUGCGAAAACGGUCAUGCCACGUUUGCCGAGUGUCUAAUGGCAUGGACACUCCACAUGUUUGCCGAGUGUCCACCGAAAAAAUCCUCGACAAACAUGAGUCAUUUUAGACUUUAGGCACAAUUUCCUAAAGGAACACCAGAAAUUUCACAUAAAUUUUCACAUUAGCUGUGUAAAUAAUAGCAAAGUUCUUGCAAGGUGACCAUACUUGCAAGGUAUGCUCGUACAAGUUCAAAUUUGUUGUAAAUCUGCAGUUACAGUCCGAACAUAUAAUGACCUGAACAGCAAAAAGAUCUGCCUCGACAGCACCAGGGGAGGUGGGAGCUCACUCUUUACUGCUUAGCCUAAAUUUCAUAUAUUCCAGUAUAUUUUUUUUAUGGAAGAGGUAACAAUUUUCUUGUGGGAGAUUGUUAGUACAACUGAGCUAAUGGCAUCAUGCACGGUAGAAAAAACGGGGGGCCCUGGCGUGGCGUCCCUGUAGGAAAUGGGGAACGUGUGCCACGCCACACAUGCACGCGUGCGUGCUUAAUUUCAAGGGAAUCAAAUUCUGCACUCGUCCGGCUAGUCUCACUCUCACACCCGACCAUCAUCAGCGAACUAAUGAAGCGAACUUUUCAAGGCCACGCACAUGUAUAAACCGCUUGAGAACACACUUGUACUAAUGAGUUCUCUGUCACAUGAUCCAACAGAUGGUGAUCUCGGCCACGACGAACGACGAUACGAUACACUCGCUACGGUACUACCUGCAGAGAUUCUUGACCUGCUGCCAUUCGUUUCUCGCGCUGGCACGCAGCCUGGUCGUGAUCCUGUGUGCUUUUGCUUGCAGAUGGCGGUUUGAGAUCCUGGAGAUCCAAAUCCUCUCCGCGAUUCUGGUAGUCGUAGGGAGGCUCAGGCUCGCGCGCGCGCGGGGCCUCGCCUCGCACGCCCCUCGAAGCGCGCACGCCAUUGUUGCGUCCCCGCGACUUCCACCGCAGGCAGGAGGGAGAGGGACCGAGGGAGUAGUGCCUGCACCAACUCCCUGGGGGCCGCGGCCAACCGCAGCGCGACGUGUGUCCACUCCGACACGGCGGGCGGGGAGGAGUAAAGAAACCGGGCAGCGCGGGCCACGACCCCACGAAACACCGACGAUUAGUUUAGGUCUUGUUGGAAGUGCCAAAUUAUUGUUACAGUACUGUAUCAUACUGUAGUAUUUCAUUUGUAUUUAUGAAUUAUUGUCCAAACAUUGACUAAUUAGUUUUAAAAGAUUCGUCUCGCAAAGUACAACAAAACUGUGCAAUUAGUUUUUAAUUUCGUCUACAUUUAGUACUUCAUGCAUGUACCGCAAGUUUGAUAUGAUAGGGAAUCUUUUUUUUGCAUAGUGUCAAAGUUGGCAGUGGAGGGUGAACUAAACAAGGGCUUAUAUGCGGCCGCUACGCUACGUACUCCAGCCGGGACAGAAGGAAUCCGGCCACACCUUCAAAAAAAAAAACCAGGAACCCGGGCACCGAGCGAGCCCUUGACCAAGUCCACGCGGUCCAGACAAGCCCACUGGCCAUUGGAAAAUUCGACCCCACAGGAAAUCCUAAGCGAUGUAAUCAUCCAUAUGUGGGUCCAAGACAUGAUUUUUUUGGCUGUGAACACUGCACAGCAACUCGCGAGAAUCUUUUCCCUCAGCCUUUUUUAUCUGUAGGUUUUGGGAGCACCGAGAGGAGGAAAAAUUGGCUUAAGAUGGAGUUGUUAUUGGGUAUGCGGAAAAGUAGGGAACGAAGUUGGACAACUGUUGGAGCUUUGGUUUUUCACCUUGGUUACCAAAACUAGUCAUUGAAAUCAUAUACCGGGCACUCUUGGAGAUGCUAUAACUGAUGAUCUAGUACAUAUAUCUUGAACAUUAUUUUUUUUUAAAAUCUGGUCGGUAGCAGUUAAACUAAUUGUCUAAACCAAUUAUCUAGUACCUAAACCAAUUAUUGUCUCGACCACCUAAACUAAUUGUUGUCUCUUGCACUGUAUCUUCCAGAUGGUAAAAGUAAAUAAAAAAAAUGAAAAUCGGGGUUGGUGGGGUAAAGUGCUCAUGAGACAAAGAGCAUCGUGGGAGGUGAGGCCGUGCUUUACAAAGCACUUUCUCGGGUCGUUCGCAUCUACGACUGUGAGGCCCUGAGAAUUGAAGCGCCCUUCCUCUCUGACACCACCACAAGCUAGCAGAGCUGUAGAGCCAGCUUCCCAGUCGAGAUGGCCGAACUGAUGGCGAGCGCCGCCACGAGCGUGAUGGGGUCCGUCAUCGGCAAGCUGACUGCCAUGCUCGGCGACAAGUACCAGUUCGCCAGAGACGUGGAGCAAGGGAUCCGCUUCCUGAAGGAUGAGCUGAGCAGCAUGGAUGCCGUGCUGCAGAAGCUCGCAGACAAGGACGACGACCAAAUGGAUCCAAUGGAUAAAGAUUGGAGGAACAAGGUGCGUGAGCUAUCCUUCGAUAUUGAGGAUUGCGUCGAUCGCUUCAUGCUCAAUCACAGCCAUGGAGGUUCCAAGGCUAACUUUGUUCGCAAAGCCGUGCGUAAGGUGAAGAUGUUGUGGGAGGACCAGGGCAUAGCAGGGGAGAUCCAAAAACUCAAGAAACUCGUGACAGAGCAGAGUGACCGGGCCAAACGCUACCCUGUGGGAAUGCGGUGCGACUCACCUCAGCCGGUGCGCUUGGAUCCUCGAGCAACUGCCCUCUUUUCAGGAGGCGAGGGAUCCUGUGGGAAUUGAUGGUCCUCGCGAGGAAAUCAUCCAGCUAUUACAAGUUGAAGAAAAGCAGCACAAGGUGGUGUCCAUCUAUGGUACCGCUGGGCAGGGGAAGACUACUCUAGCCAUGGAGGUAUACCGAAAAAUCCCACAAGCAUUUGAUUGCAGGGCUUUCGUGUCUGUAUCUCAGACUCUGGACCUGAAGAAGCUACUCAGAGAUAUAUUGUCUCAAAUAGUAAGCAAGAGCGAGUUUGACCAGUUGCAGUCGGAAAGGUGGGAGACGGAGCAGCUCAUGCGCGAAAUGAUAGACUACUUAAUUGGCAAGACCAGAAUUACUUUCUUGUACUAUAAUAAUUAGCCAGUUCAUCUAGCUAUGGCAAUGUUGUGAGGUCUUUGUCGAUCACAUGAGCUCACCUAAUUUAUCGGCCAUUUUACGGUUGUAUUUUACGGACCCAUUCGAGCAUAAAACUACCACAUAUGCAUUUGUUACAUGACUUCAGCUGUUCAACAUAUCUACCAAAAGCCAUCGCUAAAUAUCUUACAACAAGGUCAAGUCAACUGCCCAUGAAUGUAGGCGUAUGUGGUUGGAGUUGGCCUGUACUAUUGUGCGCAAAUGAUAUUUGAGUAGAAAAUUAUUUACUCUAUACCAUCAAAUAAUUCCAGAUUCAGUAAAAUUAUUUCUUGAUAACUUCAACCAUGUUUGUUUCGUAUAGCCAUUCUAAAUAUCCAUAAAAAUCUUCUUUAAUCCGUCUCUUUACUUUUCUCCAAUAUCUUUCACCAUGAUAUGCUCUAUAUGUUGAAUAGUUAUGAUGGCCUCGUAACAUGAUUCCUCAACCAAUGCAUGCAGGUACUUCAUCUUGAUUGAUGAUAUCUGGAAUGUAUCAGAUUGGGAGCUUGUACAAGCUGCCUUACCUCGCAAUGACAACGGAAGCAGAAUAAUUACUACAACACGCAGUAAAACAGUAGCCAAAACAUGUGCUGGUACUGAUGCACAAAUGUACAAAGCAAAGCCACUUGGUGAUGACGAUUCUCGCAGAUUAUUCUUUAAAAGGCUAUUUCACUCAACUGAACAUUGUCCCCAAGAUUUGAUGGCAGUAUCCAGUGAUAUUUUGAGGAAAUGUGGGGGAUUACCAUUAGCCAUAAUCAGUAUAGCUGGUUUAUUAGCAAACAGAAGCAAAACCAAGGAAGUCUGGGUCAAUGCAUUGAAGUAUAUUUCUGCGGCAGUUGACAAAGAUUCUCACAUUGAUAAAAUGAAAAGAAUUUUUCUGCUUAGUUACUUUGACCUUCCUCUUUAUCUAAGGAGCUGUAUGUUAUAUCUGAGCGUGUUUCCGGAGGAUUAUUUGAUUGAUUGUAGACGGUUGAUAUUGUUAUGGGUAGCCGAAGGACUGAUUCCUGGACAAGGCAGAGAAAAUAUGGAGCAGCUUGGGAGGAGUUACUUGAAUGAGCUGAUCAAUAGAAGCUUGGUCCAACCAACCAAGGUUUGGGCAGAUGGCGCAACAGUUAAAGAGUGCAGGGUUCAUGAUGUCAUACUUGAGUUUAUUGUAUCAAAGGCUGUGGAGGACAAUUUUGUUACUAUAUGGAAUCGUAAUGGGUUUUCUGAAAAUUAUUCUUCCAACAAGAUUCGCCGUUUAUCUAUCCAACAUGACAUUUCUAGGCGGGCUGAAGAGAUGGUGAAGAUAAAAGAACAUGCAGCUCAUAUUCGAUCAAUUAAUAUUUUUGACCCUAAUUCAGUGCUGCUAAUUAAAAACACCUCUAUAUUUUUAAGUAGCCAAGUCUUGCGAGUGCUGAAUAUAGAAGAUCAUGUUUGGGAGGAGUUAGUUGAAGAUUACUGCUAUUUAGGACAUGUCAAAAGUUUUUGUCAAAUGAAGUACUUGAGGUUAAAAAUUUGGAUAUCACUAUGGUUCGAACUCCCAAAAGAUAUAGAAAAGCUGCAACAUCUAGAGACACUAGAUCUUAGGGGUACCUGCAUUGAAAAACUACCGGCUAGCAUUACCCAACUGCAGAGAUUAGUGCGUCUUCUUGUCAGUAUUGAGGUAAAACUACCUGAUGGGAUUGGAAAUCUGCAGGCAUUGGAAGAGCUAUCAUCGAUCAGUUUGGAUUUUCAAACUGUCAAGUUUAUCCAAGGGCUCGGCGAUCUGACCAAUCUGAAGGUACUUGGAAUUAAUUGGAAGCACACUUAUGCAGGAGUACGUCGCGUGGACGUGGAAGACCACAAGGAAGCAUGUAUCUUGUCACUCUCCAAGCUUGUCACAACCCUUCGAGAACUGCAAUUCAUGCAUGAUGUUCCUGAUGACGCACUUUCAUUCAUGGCUUCGUUUGCCUCAUCUUUAACUCCACCACCCCUUCGGAGGCUCGUCUUUCACGAAGGUGGUGGAUCAAGUGUCGUGCCCCAUCAAAUCAUCAGCUCGCUAGUCAACCUGACCCACCUCAAUAUUGGACUAGUAAGCCAGGAAGGGAUAAAUAUCCUAGCAAGUUUGCCCAUGCUCCUCUCUAUUACUGUUCGCGUUUCCUUUGAAGAGGGUAGUUCUGGAAUCAGGUAUACAAUCAGCAGUCAAGGAUUCCAGCGUUUAGUCAAGUUUAAUUUCGACUGUUUUCAUGAUGGGGGGGGCGUUGGAGUUUGAGCCAGGAGCCAUGCCAAAGCUCCAAAGGCUCGAGCUGUACCUGGUGGCACGGGGUCAGUUCAAUUAUGAGCAAGGCGCCCUCGUCCUUGGGCUGCAGAAUCUGGCAAGCCUCAGACAUGUUGCUCUUGGUAUUAACUGUUAUCCAGCUACUCCUGAUGAGGUGCAGGAUUUGGAGGAUGACAUCAGGGUUGCAGCAGGCGCCCAUCCCAACCGUCCCGUGGUCCAGCUGGUCGGAAAACUAAAUGAACAUUGGAUGACUUAGGGUGCAGCAGGCACCCAGCUACCUAGAAGCACAAUGACCAAGUAAAUGCAUGGUGUGGAGAAUAAAUAUCAUUAUCAAUGAUGAUCUUUUUUUCUGUUUCAAGAGCACGUUGGAAUUAAACAAGGUUAAUUCGAUUUGUUUUCAUCUUAGUUUUUGCUUUAUGACAACAUGUGUGCGCAUGCAGAUUGGCCUCUCGAAUCUAUGGAGUGCUGAUAUGUGUUGCUUGAUAUGAUGGUGUUGUGUUGAGGUGGGUUUGGGAUGUGUGCUCGGAGCGAAGGCAUUUGCCCUUCGCCGGGCCAACGAUGCUGACGCCUGUUGGUGCCACAUCCCUCUCUAUUGACUAUGAAGGACUGACUACGUUAAGCUCUUCCUCCAUAUAUGGAUUGUAGGUUGCUAGGUAGUUUUGAGACGUAUGUUGAUUUUAAAAUCUUAUGUUGUUUAUCACUUACUGGAUCUGUUUCUUCUUUCUUUCUUUUAUAUUUCCUUUUGAUAAGGUUGUGUGUUGUUGCAUAGGUGGCUGGAAUCUAAGCUUUGUUCAUCCAAAAGAAGAUGAUAUAAAACAACCAGAAAGAAACAAGGGGGGGGGGGGGGCGGUUAAUCUCCUUCCAAGGGGAUUGGAGGGGAUUUUGACUGGUAUGGGAUGUUUUGCAGGAGGAUGUGCACCUCAACAUAAGUAAUAUGGAAUCUGUGGGUACACUUUUGGCAACAUAUCUUCAAACCACAUUCUAUGCAACAAUAAUCUUGUGCAAACCAUACAUAGCUAUGCCCACCAUUUCUAGAACGAUGUUCAAUAGACUACCAUAUGCAUAUGAACGCGCACGAUGGAUAUUAGACACAAAACAUAGUAGUAGUAUAACUUGCACAAAACUACAUUUAUGAUCUUUUGUAUUUGAGCCAGGAAGUUCUUUCAAAACAUAACCCACAAGAAAGCACGCACUGGUCUUGUUGUGCACUACACGUUAGGUGUUGCAAUUGCAUAUAAUCUCUUUUAUUUAUUUAGUUUGAACAACCGUGCAUGGCUAGGCACUUCCGAAAGUCUUCACUUCAAGUACUUGUCAAACCAGUCCAUCAUUAGACCAAGAGCUUGCUCAACAGUUUUGACAGCAAA